AAUCACUUCACGUUCCUACCCCUAAAUCCAUCCUUAAAUGCAAUAACAAUGUAAACGAAAUUUUACGACUGUUGCUCCACCCGCCGCCACCCAAAUAUAAAGUUGGCUCCCUUCCCCCUAAAUUCUAAAGCGCGAACAUCAAAGGGUUUUUUUUAUUAAUUUUUCUCUUCUUCUUCCUCUAUCAUCUUCAACCGACCAUCAAACAUGAAUAUAUCCUAUCAAUGAGUUUACUCAUUCUGCUACCUUAAACGACUAACUUUUUUAUUAAGAAACUUCUCAAGUGCGACGACGACGAGUAUUUGAUUCUCCGGUUUUCUACAUUAAGAUUACGCAAAGGCAAAAGCCCGGUUUUGGAUUCCACCACCAUCCUUGCAAACGCUCCUGAGGAAAAAUUACAAGCUGCAAUUAAGGAUUCUGUGUCUGAAAAUGAGGCAUUUCAGAAAGUAUUUGGAAAAGAACAUCCUGGAUAUGUUCGUAGUAUGGGACUUGGAGUUACGCCGUCUCAAAUUAAUAGAUCUACGAGAUCGGCGACUUCUUUGGAAGAAAAUGAAAAAAUAAAGGAAAUGCAAGAAGAAAUUAAUGCACUUAAAGAAAAGAAUUCAAAAAUUGAUGAAUUGAUGGAGGCAGUCGCAUUCUUAAAGCAAAGGGACAAUGCUAUGACAGAGGAAAAUGAACGCUUAAGGCAAAUGCAAAAUUCUAGUGGAAGACAGGGAUUGGAAUCACCCGCUGAUGGUAGACGUUCUUCUGAGUCUAGCUACCGAAUUGCAGAUAAUGGAUCAUCAAGAAGGACAAAUUAGACGUUGCUAUGAAUUAAUUAGAUUAUAAAAUUUCCUAUGUAUUUUUGGCACUAUGAAUCUUAUUAUUAUAAGAUUAGGAUUUGAUAUGUUUUUCGGUUUUUUGUAUUACAUGACAUGA